rnacentral:tRNA from 1 species
UGCCCGAUGGUGUAAUGGUAGCACUUCAGUUUUUGGUACUGAAAGUCCAGGUUCGAAUCCUGGUCGGGUAG